rnacentral:misc_RNA from 1 species
GUAACAAGGUUUCCGUAGGUGAACCUGCGGAAGGAUCAUUACCGAGUGCGGGCCCGCUGGGUCCAACCUCCCACCCGUGUCUACCGUACCUUGUUGCUUCGGCGGGCCCGCCCGUCUGGGCCGCCGGGGGGCCGUCGUGCCCCCGGGCCCGCGCCCGCCGAAGACCCCCAGGAACGCUGUUCUGAAGGUUGCCGUCUGAGUCGAUAGAUGCAAUCGGUUAAAACUUUCAACAACGGAUCUCUUGGUUCCGGCAUCGAUGAAGAACGCAGCGAAAUGCGAUAAGUAAUGUGAAUUGCAGAAUUCAGUGAAUCAUCGAGUCUUUGAACGCACAUUGCGCCCCCUGGUAUUCCGGGGGGCAUGCCUGUCCGAGCGUCAUUGCUGCCCUCAAGCCCGGCUUGUGUGUUGGGCCGCCGUCCCGCUCCCCGUGCCCGGGGGGGACGGGCCCGAAAGGCAGCGGCGGCACCGCGUCCGGUCCUCGAGCGUAUGGGGCUUCGUCACCCGCUCUGGAGGCCGGGCCGGCGUGCUGGCCGAUCGACCGUCUUCCUUCUCCAGGUUGACCUCGGAUCAGGUAGGGAUACCCGCUGAACCUAAGCAUAUC